GACAGUGUGAGCUUUCUGUCCUAACACCCUGUUCCUCUUCCAUUAAAUUCCUUUUGCAUUUGUAAUUUGUUCUUGCUUCUAAGGAUUAUUUGUGUACCAUUUCCUCCUCCUUGUCUCCACCCCAGUUAUGAGCUCCAGGGAGGAAGAGGGCCCAUCUGUGUUGUCUCCUCGUUGGUGGCCAGCACCAGGGACAGGGACAAGCUUAUUCCCAAAUGGCUGUGUUGCCUGGGACAAGUUAUGUAACCUCUCGCGUCUUGGGUUUCUUUAGUUAUUACCUAUUGCGUCACAGAUGUGUUGUGAUAAUUUCAAGAGACAGCCUAUGGAAAAGCCCAGAGGGCUUGGCACUCGGGAAGAGCUGAACUAACUGGUCCUCUUAUGAUAAGUGCUGUGGCUCUGGAGGCUGGUGCCACCAUGAGAGUGGGACAUGGGGGUUGGACCCUGGGAGCAACUGCCCAGGUUCCAGUCCAGCUCUGACCACGUCCUAAAUGGGUGACCUUGUAACAGGUCAUCACCUCUCUGUGCCUCACUUUCCUCAUCUAUAAAGUGAUGGCAGCAAUAACACCAGCCUCCAGGAGUCAUUUAUUAGCAGAGUCCUUAGGGCCACGCCUGGCUCUCGCCCGAGGUGGUCUUAGUGUGCUUAGCGUCUGUCACUUUCAUGCUGCAACCCAACAGGUCACUUCUCUGGAGCUGCUGCAUAAAAGCACGUUUGUAACAUCUUGCAGGAAAUGAACAAAGUCCUGGGGUCUGGGUUCUGUUUCUAGGGCACAUUCCUCUGCUGUCGUGUUAAUUUCUAAAGCGUGUGGCGUCACCCUCCCCUGUCCAUUUCCCCAGUCCAGUUGCUGUACUUUAUCUUCCCCCCCGAGAGAUGUAGUGGGUUCCCCGUGUUUCCUCCCGAGCACGUAUCCCGCCUCUGUGGUCUUGGCCAAGAGAGGUCUUGUGGGCAUGUGAGCUGUGUGCCUGCCCCCGAACUGAUCCUGAGGCUUUAGGCUGCCCCCAGGUGCUGCACAGGAGCACCGUCCGAGGGCAGCUUCUGUUUCAUGUCCGAAAAUGGAGCAGGAUAAAUAUACUCUCUGGAAGCGGAGACUCAUCCUUGUGCCUCUGUGUACCUUCCUGAAAACUUAAAAAGAAAAAAGAAAUCCUCCCAGUUCCACUACUGUCCUCUAAACAGUCCUGGUAGGUGACACUGCAUAAGUGUGCCGUCCAUCAAGACGGCAGUGUGGACUCUUGGUCUCACGCCCAGGACUGAUGGAGAGUCACUGGGAGGAAGCCCCCAGCCCCUGAUGACAGUGAUGAUGAAUGACACCUGGGCAGCGGCUGUAGCCCACGACCUUCCUGCCGUCGUGGAAGAAACACACAGGCAGAAUUUAUGGGGCGGUGGCUUAAAUCGCAGCCCACCAUAGGGACGUUUCCCUGGCUACCCACUUCCCAACCGAACCAUGAGAAUGCUGAUCUCGCAUCGACGAGGUGAUUUUAGGAGGUAAAUGAACUGGUAUAUAAAGAAUUUUUAAAUUAGGUGUAUGUUUGUUUAAUUUUUUAUUGGGAAAAUAGUGUUUCCAUUCAAGUAGAUGCCAAAUUCGUCCUUUUUACAUCUAUUUAGGAAAACAUUUUAAGAAUCUAUUAAUUACAGGGAAGGUGGUUCUACUAUAGCAAAACCCUUGACAGUGGUGACUGGUUGAGUGAAAUCUGGAAGAUGCUGCCUUGUGCAAAGUCACCACGCACCUGCCUGGCAGAAGCGCCCUUGGAGGUUCGGGGUGGGGUCUAGAAGAGAGGGCGCACACAGGAUGUUGUCACAGGGACACAGCUGUCACGCCUGUGGAGGAAGCGCCUUAAUGCCCUAGAGAGUUCGAAGAGGAAGGUUACCUAUGCGGUGUAAACGGCCGUGGGUGGAGGGAUUGGGCAGAAAGUUCACAAAGAGAGGCUCUGUGGGGAUUCUGGAGGCGAAGGGAUCGCUGGCAUAGUGGCUGGCAGGGCACGCGGCGCGGGCUUGGGGACUGCAGACUGUCAUCGCUUAAUGGAAGUCAAGCGUGGGCUUGGAAGGGCUGCAAGAGGAGUGUAGACCUUCCAGCUGGGAGAGGAGCAGCUCUCGCGGGAUGGAUGUACUGUCUGGUGCUAAACCCCGGGGGUGAGGUCAGGCUCGGGGGCCCUCUAGUGGCGGAACUGGCGAGAAGAGGUCCUUGGAUGGAAUGGGCUCGAGCUCUUCCCAGACCUCUCUGGGCACAGACUCUCCCGGGAACUGGUGAGAACGCGGAUUCUGACCCAUCAGUCUGCGGCGGGGCCGGAGCCUCUGCAUUUCCAACAAGCUUCCUCACGAUGCUGCCGCUUCCGGGCAUGGCCCUGUCUUGUCUCUCAACCUCCAGGGAUGCUUGCGGCCAUCCCCUCUCCAGCAACAGGAGACGGUUGCUCCGCAGGGGCCAGAGGUCUGGGCGAGCUGGGGGGUGUGCAAAGGGGCCGGGACAUUGUCCUGGUCCAGUUGGUAAAGGUGGCUCAACCCAGACAGCAAGGGUGGGGGAAGGUGGUCGACUUGAAAAUUGUAGACAACAGUGAAGAAAACUCACAAGAUUCAGCCCUAACACCUGUAUUUCCUAAAAGCGGUGGAAUUUUAAGUCCAAAGGCUCCAGAAGGCUCCAGCUACAGUAGAGGACCAUCUUCUGUUUUUUCUGUUUUUUGGGGUUUUUUUUGUUUUGUUUUGUUUUGUUUUUUAAUGACCAUGUCUGCGGUGGCAUACGAAAGUUCCCAGGCCAGGGGUCAAAUGGAAGCUGUAGCUGCCAACCUACCCCACAGCCGCAGCAAUGCGGGAUUGGGAUUGGAGCGGCAUCUGCAACCUACACCACAGCUCCUGGCAACGCCAGAUCCUUAACCCACUGCGAGGCCAGAGAUGGAACCUGCAUCCCCGUGGGUACGAGUUGGGUUCUUAACCCACUAAGCCACAACGGGAACUCCCUAGAGGACCAUCUUUUAAAGUAUGUGGGGCCAGUAUUAACCUUUAUGGGAAAGAGAUCUGACAAAGAAUGGAUAUAUGAAUGUGCAGCACUGAGUCACUGCUGUGCGCCUGAAACUAACACAGCACUGAUCAUCAGCUAUACGCCAGUCUAAAAUAACAAUUAAAUUAAAAAAGAGUAUAAGGAAAAGUGAUGCUUCUUAAAAAUUAGUACAGCACGUGGGGCCAGUCUUGGGAACACCUCGCUGCUUGUCCUCGUCUGGGGGGACUUGGGAAGUGUCCCCACAGGUGGGCAUGGAUCCACAGGCUGGGGGUUGGGGCCGUGGCUGUGAGAAUGGGGGCUUCGUGGGCGGCAGAGAGGUCGUGAGCCUGAGAGCCCCAUGCGGUGCCCCAUGCAGGGGAUGCCCUGUCUUUUCCCAGGCGGCAGGGGCUGAGCCAAGACUGGGUGAGCAAAGUGCCCGCCCUCCUUCCCUCCCCUGAGGUCUUCAUCCUGGGUGGGGCAUCGGCUCAGGGAUGGGGGCUGGCAGCUCGCAUCUGAAGCUGCCCAGUGCCCCUCAUGGGCCAUGUGAGCCACGGGCACCACUGCUUCAGCUCCACCUGCUCCUGAGGCCACGUGCUCGAUGUGCUGGGGUCAGGCCUUGGGGCGGGAGGAGGUCCUGGGAGUCCAGCCCUUUCCCCUGGGGGUCCCCUGCCACCUGGUGGAUGGGAGCCCACCUCCAUCGCUAUCCACGUGGGACUGGCUCUCACCCGCCACCGUCCCUCUGCCCCUGGUGAGUGGUCCUCGCGUGGACACCUGACUUAGUUUGACCGGGGGGAGUCUAAUUCAGGACUUUAGCUGGAACUUCUGGAAAGGGUGCUUUCUCCCCUCCUCCCCCAAGGGAUCACUCAGUGGAUGGGACUGCUGGUGGCCAUUUCAGGUGGGGACUGUCAGAUGGGGCCUGUCUGAGAAGGUCCAGCCCAGAGGGAUGCUGAGUGAGGAGGUGAGGGUUGAUUCCUGCUACCUCUUUUCAGCCCUGGGUCCAGUUGUGUGAGAAGCUGGGGCACCCCAGUGCUUCUCAGUAAAAUGCUCAGAUCCUCUUUAGUGCUUAUGCUGGUUUCAGUUGGGGUUCUGUCACUUGCAGCUGAGAUUGCCGAUUAUCACAGACCCUUGGAGGGAGGAAGUGGCUUUGCCCCGAUCUCAGGGCUGAUGGAUGUGCUGGGGCUAGAGUCCAAAGGCCCAGCUGCUCUCCCCCCGCCCCAUCCCACUCCCCACCCUUUUCCCAAGCACCCACCCAGCCUGGGGAGAUGCUGGAUGACUGUCUUCUCCAUCGGUCUUCUGGGUGCCUGCCUUGCUGAGGAUCCCGAGGUGUCCUGGAGGACCCGUGUGACUGCUGGUGACUUAGGGGGUGCAGGGAUUCAGGCUUUUGUCAUGAAAGUGGGGCACUGCUUGGACACUUUAUAUGCCUGGGCUUGCAUGUCACAGAGGGCCCCAUAAUGUCACCGAAAGGGUAUGCUCAGGAGUUGCUAAUGUCCUAUUUAACUUUAAUAAUGAGACACCUCUGCUCACUUUUUAUUACCCACUGUGGCUUUCGACUCCUGUUCCUUGGACGGUGUAAGAGUUCGAGGUUAAUGGAUCCUGCGAUGAAUUAUUUAGAAGGUGGAGACACGAGGUUCUUACAAGACCAAGACUUUGUAAUAGAUUAGUUAAUAGCUUCCUAACUUAAUUAUCACUUUGAAUUUCCCCAGGAACACCUUCUCCAUGACUCAGCUAUGGAAAGUUAUUGAGAACAUCUGAUUUUUACAUUAUUUCCUUGCUCGGUUUAAGCCCUAACGUUCUGAUGUUUCUACAUAGCUCUUCAGUCCAAGGCUUUUCGUCUCCAUGGUAUUGCCUGUGACAUGUACAUGGUGGAUACAGACCUUAGGAAGCCUGCGCAAGGGCUUUGCAACACAUGGCGAUACUUUCAUGGCCUGUAGCCCAGAAGUUCCAUAGUGAAGUUUCAUUUCAUUCUCCCAGGACUAUGUGUUGUGGUUACAGGUGCAGCCAUAGGGUCAGGGUGACCCGGGUGUGGAUCCCACCCCCUCCACUUGGGUUGGUCACUCCCGCUUCUCUGACUCAGUUUCCUCCUUGGUCUCGUCCUAGUCUU
ensembl:lncRNA